rnacentral:rRNA from 1 species
CACACCUGUUCCCAUGCCGAACACAGAAGUUAAGCUUCUUAGCGCCGAUUGUAGUGAAGGGUUUCCCUUUGUGAGAGUAGGACGUCGCCAUGCA